UUUUGGUUCCUCUUCCAUUCCCACCUUCUCUGCCCUGUACUCGUAAUCGUAUACCUUAUUCUCCAUUUCUCUCCUUUCCUUCCUCAUCCUGCUUGAACUUUCGCCAACUCCAUCUGUAUUCCACACAAAUCAAAUCCAACCAGGGAAAGAAGUUCCACGUGGGAGAUCACUUGUAUCGUCACCUUCCCUCCUUCUCUUUGGAACAGAGUUUCCACAAUAAGAUGAACAUGCAGAAGAUGGUGCGAUGGGACCAGAAUCCACGUUUGAUGUUAUGGUAAAACCAUCGCCACCACCACCUCCAAUUGCACUUUUAUCAAUGUUUUGAUGAAGAAGCGAGUGAUCGUGAUCAUGAUCAUGAUCAUGUUCCUCUCCGGUGACAACUUGAGUCAAAGCAUAGAUCAUGGCUGACAUCUCCCUCUCCCUAUCCAAUCCCGAAAACAUCAUCGGCAUUGACAACGAAUGAUAGUUUCUCGCUUUGCCCAGGUAACUCCGGUCACCCUCGUUACCCUGUUCUCUAUUAUUCGCCAUAUUUACACUUAAAACUUUACCUCUAUGCUUUUAACCCAACCCUUCGCAGCAACCAAAAUUUCGAACUGGUUGUGGUAGCAACCAAGACUCGUAAAACAAUGGAACAAAUGAAGAACUAACUUAUACACGAAUGUCUGAAGAAAAAAAAAGUAUCUAAGGAAUUGAAACAGAUGGAGGUUGAUGGGUUAAUUAUGGGUCAAAGGGUGAAGGUGUGAAACUGAAAACCCAGUUGCAUAUGUGUGGAGAGAACCAAGUUGACGGUGCUCCGACAAAAAAAGGUAACAGUAGUGACGGCCGACUUCAAAACACAAAAUCUUAAUUUAUUUAUCUUAUCCACGGAUUGAAAAGUUGUAUUUCUAUACGAUAUUAUUACUUACACCAUCAGAUCAAGUUUUCAAAUCCAACUUCUCUAUUGGAUAAAUACGUACACAAUGCCGUACGUUAAUCCAAAACCAAACUGGGGACCACCACCGUCCAUGGUUUAUUCCAGAAUAUGUAAUUUAUUUGCUUUAUAUUAAAUUAGAUUAUUUUAUUUCUAAUAGAAAA